UCCCGUAUAGCUCAGUUCGUAAAGAAUCUGCCUGCAAUGCAGGAGACCCAGGUUCAGUCUUUGGUUUGGGAA
rnacentral:tRNA from 1 species